rnacentral:lncRNA from 9 species
GAGUUCGUGCAUUCAAGUGACUGCGAUGAGAAGAGCAGGAUAUUCCUCCCGGGUUUCACUAGAAGCAAAGCGUCCUGAGGCCUGGUGCCUUCAGUGCCUUCACAAAGACCCCCUUCUCUGCUUUAAGUGAAAGCUAGAGGAAUGAAGGGCACUUGGCCUGGGAGACCACCCAAGAACAGUGCUUCGUUCAUCACCCGGAGACAGUGGCCUGUUCAAAAGAGGAUUUCUCAACUUUAGAAGGAUGAUUCUGGCUGUGGUGUUGAGAAGAGACUCCAGCGAGGAUGGAAGUUGAGACAAACGUGGCAGCAAGAAGACCCUCUAAGGAGCUACGGCAAUAGAAGAAAAGGACCGAGGUCCUCUCGCCACCAAACUGAAGCUGAAACCUCAGACACUCAGUUCAUCAUUUGAAUGGUAUCAAGAAUAUGAGAUGGUGUGAGGAUGAUGGGAGAAAGGGCAUCUGUUGCUUGUUUUGGUUCCUCCUGAAUCCACAGUCAGUACUCAGUAGAGUAGCCAUGAUUUUAAUUAUUUUAAGAGGAAGAUUCACAAGGAUGUGCCCACAAAACACUGCCAAUUUGCAGCUGAAAAUGAUAACUGGAUUGAUAUUCCUCUUUGAGAUGCAAGCAGAUGCCUCCACCAACUAUCUCGAACCGGAAUGCCGCAGCCUCCCCUUCGUCCGCAUUUAUCCUUGGCAGGAGCACCGUCUAUUUUGGGAAGGACGAAUCCCUGAGGACACCUGCAAAGGACUGGAAGCUCUUAGCAACUCCUUGACCUGAGAGUGAGGAACCGAGUGGCGGGGAGCCCCAGGACCUGCCCAUCAUCACGUCUCUGCAGUGGCCUUGCCACAACCUGCCCGGCGGGUUCUCCUGGAUUGGGGGAAGGUCUGGACCCGUGUCCCUCGGGGGUUCUCCUAGGUCUCUUAUGGAGGAGGUGGCAGGGCAGGGAAUUGCUCAGUGACUUUCGACUCCAUUUCCAAGGCACAUGCAUUGUUAAGUGCUAAGACUUCUGUAAGAUAGUUGGAGUGGAAAAUGGAACCCUUAAUCCUAGACCCUAAAGUUCAACUCUUUCAUGAUCGCUACAAUGGGUGCUAAAGAGAAGAGAACAGAGGAAACAGUCUGGGCAAAUGUAUCCUGUUUGUUGUUAUGGGGCUUUGGUCUCAAAUCUCUGUGGUUGAGCUGAGCUAGUUUGGAGCAUGUGUCAGCUGUGAGCAUGCCCUUUGCCUGUCUAAAUUCAGGUGGAAGACGAAAAGCCUAAUGAUAAGUUCAAGGUCAAAUAAGUCUAAAUAUGAAUAAGAAGCAAUAAAGCAUAGUCCUAAAGUCAGAUGUGAAAGCGAGAGAAUGUGAUGCUUAUGGAUGAGAAAAGUGAGACAGGCCUUAUGGAAUCUCCAGCUUUCAUGCUGGACUUUGUUUGGUAUAGAACCUUCUCAGCAUGGUGCUAGGAUGCUCCCUUCUCAGGAAAUAGCUCAGACGGGAGAAACCUUGAGCUUCUCCCAGUAGCUGAAAGGUGCCUCAAACAUUCAUUACAGCUUCUUAGACAGAGUUCGCUGAGGAAAGUUGUGUUCCCUGGGGCUGAAAAUUCUAGUAGACUGUAGGUGCUUUCAAACUUUGUGGUUUUUAUUUAUUUUUAUUUUAAAAAUUUUUUUGAAAGAUACUUCUUUUAGGCAUAGAAACUUAUACAGAACUCUAAUAUGUAACUGGUUAAAAUGUAUUCUAUUUGUAUAAAUUUAUUUUAGGAACUCAAAUGCAGUGAAGCUUUGCUACAUGCACUCUUUACUGGAUAACAGUGAGGAGAGUGGGCGGGGAGAUAUCCACUCAGUGAAAAGGAGAUUGCAAACCAAAUUUCCAAAA